rnacentral:misc_RNA from 1 species
GAAAUGCGAUAACUAGUGUGAAUUGCAGAAUUCAGUGAAUCAUCGAGUCUUUGAACGCAUAUUGCGCCCAUUGGUAUUCCGAUGGGCAUGCCUGUUCGAGCGUCAUCUACACCCUCAAGCUCUGCUUGGUGUUGGGCGUCUGUCCCGCCUCCUUCGCGCGCGGACUCGCCCCAAAUCCAUUGGCGGCGGCCCUUGCCUCCCUCUCGCGCAGCACAUUGCGCUUCUCGAGGCGCGGCGGACCGCGUCCAGCAAGCAACCGUCACACCGUCUUUGACCUCGGAUCAGGUAGGGAUACCCGCUGAACUUAAGC